ACUAAAGGCUAUUCUUCCUGUCAUUCAACAACUUGUGUAGAACAGGAAUAGAUCAGGUUUAUGUCGUCUCUCUACAAUCACAGUAGCGCUCUUUGGAUGUCCAUUUGUAAAUAUUUAACUGAAAUCUUCACAUUUUAAAGGAAGGCAGCUCGAGUUGGAAAAGAAGGAGAUAAUAGACCUGCUGACCAUCUCAACAAGACCUUGAUAUCACUCUGAGAAGAAGCCGGACAAACUUUGAACAAAGAUCAGACUGAGGAGUGGAUUCAGGACACUGCCUUUUAAAACUUGCUCAGAGAUGUCAGAGUCAUCCCAGAACCAUCUAAACAACCUCGAAGUUCUUCCACUGACUUCUGUACCAGGAACAGGUCUUCAACAACAUGAGGAAACCUGCAGUCAAGUAAUCUGUGAGGAAUCUACUGCGUCCUGCUGCAAUGACAAGUACCACAGGAAACUGGCCAUCUCUAGCAUCAUCUGUGGGUUUUACUGCUGCGGAAUCCCAGCUUUGAUUUAUUCUGUCAAGGCUGAGGAUGCUGACAAAGCUGAGAAGGCCGAGCCGACGACAGACAGGAGAGCUGCAAAGUAUU